AAAAUAAUUAUUUAAAAAUAAGAUAAGAGACCCUAUUAGUGGCACCUUUAACCCCUAUUAGUGGCACUUUUUCUUUCAAUGAAAAAAUGUUCUACUUGAAAUAAAAAUUGAAAAUUUUUUU